UACCCGCAGCACAAGUGGUGGUCAUUAUUAUUGGGCCUAAAGCGUCCGUAGCUGGCCUGUUAGAUGCCUGGGGAAAUCGAUGCGCUCAACGUAUCGAACUCCGGGUAGACCGGCAGGCUUGGGACCGGGAGAGGCGUGAGCUACUCGAGGGGUAGGGGUAAAAUCCUGUAAUCCUUCGGGGAGGACCAGUGGCGAAGGCGUCACGCUAGAACGGCUCCGACAGUGAGGGACGAAGCCCUGGGGCGCAAACCGG
rnacentral:rRNA from 1 species